GGACAUUUUCCCUGCUUAGGCAGCCACAGCACAGAGAUAGAAUUAGUCACAAGAUUAGUCCAGCUUAAAUAAGCAGAAGUCAAGUUAGUGCUUCACAGAUUGGUCUUUUAGCAGAUGCUCUGCCCUUUCGAGGAAUGCAAGGGGCAAAUGUGAGCUCUUAAGGAUAUUUUACAUUUGCGCAAUGAAGUUACGCUGUUCAAAAAACUUUCUCGUCUUUCUGCCUUUGUGCAACCUAAUUUCUCUUACCAGAAACCUGAGGCUCCAAAGGUAAGUCAUUUGCUUGAGAACCACAGCUAAUACCACUUUGCAUUCAGAAACCCCCAGCAGCUCCUACUGCAUAAGUGAUCAAGUCCAAACUCCUUAGGACAAAAGCGGAGGUUUGAGAAACAUUUAACAACCAUUUAUACACAUAAGUACCUGUAGUUAGGCACCAUGAGGGGUGAAAUCAAAUAAGAUGAAUUCUUAGAGAGCUGUAGUAGAAAGGAAGAAGUCUGUCAUCAUACAAAUAAUUAAUUGCAAUAAGUGUCUUAGUCGGCUCAGGCUGCUGUAACAAAAUACUAUAGACUGGGUGGCUUAAAAAACUAUUUAUUUCUCACAGUUCUGGAGGCCGGAAGUCCAGGGUCAAGGUGACAGUGGAUUCGUUUCCUGGUGAGGACCCUCUUCCUGGUUUGUACAUGUGAUUCCUAGCAGUCUCCAUUUUGAAGUUCUCUUCUCCUUUGACCAAGCGUCCAGCACAUCCUCACAACACUCCAAAGCCACCUUGAAGACUCUCUUCAAAGCAGUUCUUACUGUUGAUACCACCACCAUUGUUCCGACACAUGAAGCAGGAGGACCCAAGGCCAGAGGUCAUGGUGGAGAGAUGAGCAGAUAGUCCUCAAAGGCAGACAGGGCUGGGGUUGGAGAGGAAUUCCCUAAUAGCUGUUAUAAAUGGAGAUAUGACAGGUGUGAACAAACAACCUAGGACUGGAAGAAAGAAGAGGGAGGAGUCGGGUAGAGAUAGUACUUGGAGUGGAUGCCCAGGCUGUGUAGUGACAUAAAGGGGCUUAAAGAGGGCUUAGGGAGCAGAUCUGAGAGGAAGAGAAUGAAGGAAGGUAAGGAAUUCAGUCUUUGGCAUUCUGAUACGUUGUGAGGGCUGGGGGUGGUGACCGACUAGAUUCAGGGAACCUGAGGGCUGGGUGUUGGUUUGUGUUCUUGAAAUUACUUCCUCAGGAUUUCACAUCUAACCAAAUAUUAACAAUCAUUUACUAAAUAAAUAUUGUUCUGUCCCUGGAUGGGCAGAUGGGAGUGUUAUGCCUGCCCCUCCCCAUCCCC
rnacentral:lncRNA from 1 species